CUACAUGUUGCUGAUCUGUGGGCUAGUGGCUCAAUCAUUGUGCACUGAUUCUCCACUGUUGCCUUGAUUGCCAUAAGUUUAUCUACUGACCUACAGAUCAAGGGACUAAAUGGUCAAUUAAACAUGAGGUCAAGGAAAAAGGAUGAACAUUGUAAGGGAACUCGGGCGAGUUCUUUACCACUUACAUAUGGCUCGAUAAUCUAGGGUAUGAUUCUCAAUUACACUUGUCAAUACUUGCUUAACUCAAA
rnacentral:sRNA from 1 species